AAAACUCAAGAAGACAUCAUAGGCCCCUUCUGGUCUAGAUCGAGAAGACUCUGGCUCUGUCAUGGUAGCUGCAGAAAUUAAGGCACAAUCAAUUCGCAAUGGAGCAAUAUAACAAAGAGUUAGCUAUGAAAUUCCAAAGGAGAAAGCACCAGGAAUUUAGAGUCAAUGCAAGGCAGAAGUAGUAGUAGACUCAACCUAUCCUAUGAUCAGACUAAUCAAAUAACAUUUUCAAAUCGAAUCAGCAGUUCCUACAUGUAUAGACACACGCAUCUGCCUUACCUGUUUAGACAAAACUGACAGGCUUACUGAGGUCAGCUUUUCUUCUCGUUCGCGAGGAUGAACAAAGGAAUUUAGGAGAAGUUAGCUGCAGAGUAAAGAAAGGGUAUUGAAUUGAGGUUUGUAAUUGUGUUCUUUAAUAGGAGAAAGAGAAAUGAUAUGCUUUCUAUUCA